rnacentral:rRNA from 1 species
CAGCAGUGAGGAAGGCGGAGUCGUUAAUAGCGGCCUCGUUUGACGUUAGCUGCAGAAGAAGCACCGGCUAACUCCGUGCCAGCAGCCGCGGUAAUACGGAGGGUGCGAGCGUUAAUCGGAAUUACUGGGCGUAAAGCGCAUGCAGGUGGUUUGUUAAGUUCAGAUGUGAAAGACCCGGGGCGUCAACCUCGGAAUAGCAUUUGAAACUGGCAGACUAGAGUACUGUAGAGGGGGGUAGGAAUUUCAGGUGUAGCGGUGAAAUGCGUAGAGAUCUGAAGGAAUACCGGUGGCGAAGGCGGCCCCCUCGGACAGAUACUGACACUCAGAUGCGAAAGCGUGGGGAGCAAACAGGAUUAGAUACCCUGGUAG